ACGAGGCCACGGCAACACAGUCGUUUCCCAGAAGCCUUACCUGCUACACCAGCAAGACCACUCGCAGGCGUCGACGAGAAACCUCUUCUUUACCCUGAAGUUCCCUGCGACGUUGUAGAUGACCCGAGGCCGCCGAGAAGGUCCCUCACACCAUCUGAGAUUGGACGAAAACCUGACCACUUCGCGAGGCAGUCGAUUGGCUAAUUGCGGUAACAAGCUCGAGCUCCAAGUCCUUUCGCAGAGAUAUAACGUCCCUUGAGAGCGUGAAAAGCAAUCGCUAGCGGAACUCUACGGAUACUCAACGCCCUCAAUCGUUUGUUCAGAUCGAGAGAAUCAACAGGAGUGAAAUCCUGUAAAGAGAAGACAAAGCAUUGCGAAAAAACUCCAUAUUUUCUCAUUUGACGAUCGUAAAGACCGUUUGAAAACAGAUAAACAAAGAGUGACGUUAUUUUUGGAGUGAUUUCUAUAAAGAUUUCUUUGCAAGUCUCCUUAUAAAAACAUCUUGAGAUUUUUGUUGCACUCGCAAGUUAUACUUGAAUUUACAUAGCAUUUACCUGAGUGAGCCAGAAGGUCACCGAAGAAGAAACAAGCAAUCAAGAUGGU